GCGGAACUCCUUGAAGCCUCUCCCCACCAUGGACUGGGUCCCCUUUUACCUCCUGCCCUUCAUUUUCUCUACAGGUUUCUGUGCUUUGCCCGUGCUGACCCAGCCACCAAGUGCAUCUGCCUCCCUGGAAGCCUCAGUCAAGCUCACCUGCACUCUGAGCAGUGAGCACAGCAGUUACUAUAUUACCUGGUAUCAACAACAAGAACCAGGGAAGGCCCCUCGGUAUCUGAUGAAGGUUAACAGUGAUGGAAGCCACAGCAGGGGGGACGGGAUCCCCAGUCGCUUCUCAGGCUCCAGCUCUGGGGCUGACCGCUAUUUAACCAUCUCCAACAUCCAGUCUGAGGAUGAGGCAGAUUAUUACUGCUUUGCACCCGAUGAUAGCAGUAGUCACAGUGACACAGACAAAUGGGGAAGUUCUGGCUCCCAGGCCCUGUCACAGGCUCAGACCCCACAGGACCCUGUGCAUCACCCUGACCAUGACAUCUGCCCGGGGGAUACUGCAGGAGUGACAUACCUGACAUUAAGACCUAAAGUCUCUUGA